GAUGAACGCUGGCGGCGUGCUUAACACAUGCAAGUCGAACGGUGAAGCAGGAGCUUGCUCUUGUGGAUCAGUGGCGAACGGGUGAGUAACACGUGAGCAACCUGCCCCUGACUCGGGGAUAAGCGCUGGAAACGGCGUCUAAUACUGGAUAUGUGAUGUGACCGCAUGGUCUGCAUCUGGAAAGAAUUUCGGUUGGGGAUGGGCUCGCGGCCUAUCAGCUUGUUGGUGAGGUAAUGGCUCACCAAGGCGUCGACGGGUAGCCGGCCUGAGAGGGUGACCUGCCACACAGGGACUGAGACACGGCCAAGACUCCAGCGGGAGGCAGCAGUGGGGAAUAGUGCACAAUGGGCGGAAGCCUGGUGCAGCAACGCCGCGUGAGGGAUGACGGCCUUCGGGUUGUAAACCUCUUUUAGCAGGGAAGAAGCGAAAGUGACGGUACCUGCAGAAAAAGCACCGGCUAACUACGUGCCAGCCGCCGCGGUAA
rnacentral:rRNA from 1 species